rnacentral:rRNA from 1 species
GACGAACGCUGGCGGCGUGCUUAACACAUGCAAGUCGAACGGAAAGGCCCUGCUUUUGUGGGGUGCUCGAGUGGCGAACGGGUGAGUAACACGUGAGUAACCUGCCCUUGACUUUGGGAUAACUUCAGGAAACUGGGGCUAAUACCGGAUAGGAGCUCCUGCUGCAUGGUGGGGGUUGGAAAGUUUCGGCGGUUGGGGAUGGACUCGCGGCUUAUCAGCUUGUUGGUGGGGUAGUGGCUUACCCAGGCUUUGACGGGUAGCCGGCCUGAGAGGGUGACCGGCCACAUUGGGACUGAGAUACGGCCCAGACUCCUACGGGAGGCAGCAGUGGGGAAUAGUGCACAAUGGGCGGAAGCCUGAUGCAGCAACGCCGCGUGCGGGAUGACGGCCUUCGGGUUGUAAACCGCUUUCGCCUGUGACGAAGCGUGAGUGACGGUAAUGGGUAAAGAAGCACCGGCUAACUACGUG